UUUAUUAUCGAACUGUUAAGUUCCUCUGGAUUAUCCAUCUGUUUGGCUUUUGGUUCAGUCUGCAGUUUUAAGCAUGCAGAGAUAUGCAUCUAUACAGCACCCGUGCGUCAAUUUUUGUUUAGAAAGAAAUUGCUACAUUUGCAGGGAAGAAGAAACGUACAACCUUUUUGCCACAUUUCCCUUUAAGGGGAAAAGAAUCAAUUUGUUGACAUGUUGCUUGCCUGAAGUAAAUGGGGAAACCAGAUUUUUGGCAGGCUUGCUUUUUGUUGACUGAAAUUUGAAAAGUGAAGUCUUGUCGGAUAUAGAAAAUGCCUUUUUACAAGGUUUCCUAUUCUUUAUCCCUCCCAUCGUUUUGUUAUGUUUGUAAAAAUUACAGAGUUCUGCUAAAGUUGUAAGUUUGAAUCCUUCAAAGGACAGAAAAUUAUAAUCUCUCUCGCAUAAUAUGAAGGUUUGUUACGUGAAGGUGUUGGACCCCAAACAAGAAAACCUUAAUGAUUGUCAGAUGAGGAUAUCUAUUAGUUAA